GUUGGAGCAAAAUGUUUCAGUGAAAUGAAAAUUGGGCAUAUGCAUUCAAUGUGUUGUAUCAAUGUUGUGUUUUACGAUUACACAGUUCAUUUCACCAACAAUGUCAAGUUCAAAAUGUAACCAACUUCCUCGUUUUUAUGUUUACUCAUGAGAUAUGGGCAUCGCUGGCUGGGUCAGUAUUUAUUGUCAGUCCCUAAUUUCCCUUCAGAAGGUGGUGAUUAUUUGCCUUCUUGAACCACUGCAGUCCAUGUGCUGUAGGUUGACAAAUUAGGGACGGAGCUCUGGGAUUUUGACCUGGCAACAGUGAAGGAACGACAUAAUUCCAAGUCAGGAUGGUACACGGGAAAUGAACAGGAAGAUUGACCAAGCUAAAAAUGUUAAAGGGAACAAGUUCUCCAUUGAAGAAUCAGGAAGGUGACAAUAUCCUGAGAUUUGUCAGAGAUUUAUAGUUAUUGUUUUAAAAUAUUUACAAAACCUUUGACUGAAGGUAUUGUUUGCAUGCUCUUCCUGUUUGAUGAUGUUGGCACCAGAUUUUCAAUAUUGCUUUUACAUUUUAUUGUUGUAAUGUGUUGAGUUCUUGGAAAAUGUACUGUAUAUAUUUGUGUAAAAGCCAAAUCUUUUAGAUUACUUUUUAACAUUAAAUUUAUGGGGGUAACUAUUACAUGGAUACUACUUUUGAAAUUCAUACUAUAAUCCAAAAUACCAUGUCAUAACAAAAGCCCAAAUGAUCUCUAAAUGAAUAAAGAAAACAAAAACCACAAAAUACGGUAAUUACUGGCAAAAGAAAAUAGAAACAAAAACAAAUCAGUAAGCUUUUAUUUAUACAUGCAAAAAGUGAAGCAGAAAUAUAAUUUAGUUUUAAAUCACAGUUACAGGGUACAUCUUAAAUUAAACAUGUAAAAUACAAAAGUUCAUUAAAAUCCUGCAAAAUCACAUACUCAAAAUCUUCAGCACCGAAUAAAGCUUCAAAAUCAUCAGGAUGAAUGAUAUCAUUAUAUGGAUCCUCUUCAUCCUCACUGUCUGGAGUUAGAGGUACCACAUCAGCCUCUUCUUCUUCUUAAUCUGUGUCAUCGUCCUCUGCACUUUCUAAUGCAUUUGAAAUUCCACCUUUCUUGAAUGAUUUAGAAGUAAUGUCAGUUUUUAUUUCCUUCCAUGAAUCAACGGUCCAUUCACAGAUCAACAGCAAUGAUGGAGCCCACAUACUGCCUCCUUUUGUGUACGUUUUUUCUCCAACACACAUCCAGUUAUUUCACUUCAUUCUAAUCAUGUCCUUAAAUGGCUUAUUAAUACCAACAGCUAUUGAUUGAGGAACACUUGUGAUUCUAUCGGGAGCUACAGCGACGUCAGUGUUCUCUGUUCGGAUGUAACAUUCUUCACUGGAUGGGAUCUAAACUGGUUCCAGAUGAGCAAACCCUUUUCCUUGCAUAGUCCAUCAGGUCAUAAAUUCCAAACUUCCUUUCUCCAUUUUCUACAUCCAUCCAUAUGGAUUACAAUUUCUUUUGGAAAUUUCUCCUUUGGCAAAGUUUUUCUCUUAAAAACAGUUUUAACUUAGUGCCAUCAGCCAUUCAAGAAAAAAAACUCAAGGAAACCUAUUUUUCUCAUGGCCAGUGGGUUUCACCAAUCCUGUUUUUUCUCCUUUUUGGUUCACAGUUCAAUUCUCCGACAUGUGGAGAGUAAUAGGCUUUUUCAUGCAUGGUUACAAUGCACGAUAACUUGUAGCCUUCCAUCUGCUGAUUUCAGAUUACAAACUGGUGAAACUGUAAUAUCUUUUCUAGUUCAGCAGGCAGCUUUUGAGCAAUCUUACCUCUCUGUCAGAGUGCUAAGUCAUGCCUUCUCAUGAACCUUGAAUAUACCAUCCAACAAUUGCCUUAAAACCCGAAAUUCCAACCUUCUUUGAUUUGUUUCGUGCAUGGAUUCAGAUCGAUUCACGACUAACACAUUUUCCGCUUUGACGAUUUUCAAAUACCCACCCAGCAACCUUUUCUCCAAUUGUGUGAUGACUUGCUAGGGUUACACUUUCAUUGUAGCAUUGUCUGAAGUUUGUUCGAUAUCUUUCCCCAGUGUCUCCGAAACAUAAAAUUCUCUUGCUGCUACACAGUUAUUUGUCUUGUCUGAAACUUGUCUGAAACUUUCAGUUUAAAUGAUGCUGCAUAUUUUUUGUUUUUUCUGCACAGCAUUUUUACAUAAAAUGAUGAAGAAAUUUCAAAACCUCAACUAAGUAUUUGACUACAUUCCACGAGGUUGGUUGUCACCUGACUCUUUUGCACAUCAUUAGUGUGAAUUGCACAUCAAAUCACAUAACAGCACAAAAAAAUGUGUCCUCAUAGUAACGUUUAUGUACAGGAUAAUACCCUUGACUUACAGAUGUUGAUCUGUUAUCUGUGAAGAACUAGUGUCGACUUUUACAUGAGAUAAAUGGAAAUUUCCAGAAAAAUCAGAGUUGACUUUUACAUGAGAUCGACUUUACGGUAUAUACGGUAAUUUUUUUAAAAAUUCACUUGUAGGAAGUGGGCAUUGUUGGCUGGCCAGCAAUUUUUUUUAUUGCCUGUUCCUAGUUGCCCUUAAGAAGGUGGGGGUGAGCUGCCUUCUUGAAUUGUUACAGGCCAUAUGACCAUAAUGCCAUGAGGAAAGGAAUUCUAGGAUUUUGACCCAGUGACACUAAAGGAACAGCAAUAUAUUUACAAGUCAAGAUGGUGAGUGGCUUGGAGAGGAACUUGCAGAUGGUGGUGUUCCCAUAUAUCUGCCCACUCUUCUCCAUCUCGAUGAAAAUGGGUUGUGGAUUUGGAAGGUGCUGUUUAAGGAUCUUUGGUGAAUUUCUGCAGGGCAUCUUGUAGAUGGUAUACAGUGCUGCUACUGAGCGUCGGUGGUGGAGGGAGUGGAUGCUUGUGGCUAUGGUGCCAGUCAAGUGGGGACUACUUUGUCCUGGAUAGUGUCAAGCUUCUUGAGUGUUGUUGGAGCUACACUAAUCCAGCAAGGUGGGGUGGUAUUCCGUCGCACUCCGGACUUGUGCCUUGCAGAUGGUGGAUAGGCUUUGGGGAGUUAGAAGAUGAGUUACUUGCUGUACAAUUCCAAGCUUCUGACCUGCUCCUGUAGCCACUAUGUUUAUGUGACACGUCCAGUUAAGUUUCUGGUCAAUGACAACCUCAAGGUGUGACAAGGCUGUUCAUUCUGGCAAGGUCAUGUCAUCAAUUUUUUUUUCAGAGAGGUUGUAAAUGGCCCAGACUCUGAAAGGUCUGAGAGUUUGGAUAGAUUUUAGGGACUAUUCAUUUGCAGAUAACAGAUAUUGCCUCACGCAGAAGGCUUCCGAGUUGUAAUAAACCUUGUAUAAUGAAA